UAGGCUACUUAUACCAACAAUAUUCAUUUUUUUAGGGAGCUCAUUUCCUAAGUUACUCCAAAGUUAAGCGUGUUUGGCUAGGAGUAGUCUUUAGAUGGGUGACCUCCUGGGAAGUUUCUAGGGUACACAUG
rfam:Beta vulgaris subsp. vulgaris chromosome 4, whole genome shotgun sequence.